ACGUGCCAACUAAAAAGCACAUAUUCAAUAGUUGGCAGGGAAUCGAAGUUUAACCAAUGAUUUCAGACUGUACCAAAAUUGAUGGUGUUGUGAUUGUAUUGUUGCUCACCCCUGGAGACAGCUGCCGAUACCAGUCAGGCGGCCGACGCAACGAGAGAGGCGAAAACUAGAUAGGCAAGGCGAAAAUCAGGAGAAUUAGAAUUAAGGAAUUGCUCGCUCUCUUCCGAUCUGGCUUUGGUGGCGAACGGUUGUGUGUCAGCGUGGCACGGAUAUACCAUUUUUGUUCUAAUAUAAGUUGUAAAUUGUAGUUUGUGUUCGCGUCAUUACUAUCAACGUUUCAUCGGCCAUCCGAACACAAAAGAUGGAAUGCAAAUCAGACCAAAGCAACAAACCCGAAGAGUUCAGGCCACACAGUCCAUGCAAAAACAACCGAAACAUGCAACAUAAGCAAAAGCAAUCGUCACCGUCACCGAGAACACA